GAUGAGCGCUAGCGGCAGGCCUAAUACAUGCAAGUCGGACGGGAUCUAUCGGAGAGCUUGCUCGAAGAUAGUGAGAGUGGCGCACGGGUGCGUAACGCGUGAGCAACCUACCCAUAUCAGGGGGAUAGCCCGGAGAAAUCCGGAUUAAGACCGCAUAACACUGUGAUUUGGCAUCAUGUUACAGUUAAAUAUUUAUAGGAUAUGGAUGGGCUCGCGUGACAUUAGCUAGUUGGUGAGGUAACGGCUCACCAAGGCGAAGAUGUCUAGGGGCUCUGAGAGGAGAAUCCCCCACACUGGUACCGAGACACGGACCAGACUCCUACGGGAGGCAGCAGUAAGGAAUAUUGGUCAAUGGGCGGAAGCCUGAACCAGCCAUGCCGCGUGCAGGACGACUGCCCUAUGGGUUGUAAACUGCUUUUGUCGAGGAAUAAACCUAUCUACGUGUAGAUAGCUGAACGUACUCGAAGAAUAAGGAUCGGCUAACUCCGUGCCAGCCGCCGCAGUAA
rnacentral:rRNA from 1 species